GAUGAACGCUGGCGGCGUGCCUAAUACAUGCAAGUCGAGCGAACAGACGAGGAGCUUGCUCCUCUGACGUUAGCGGCGGACGGGUGAGUAACACGUGGAUAACCUACCUAUAAGACUGGGAUAACUUCGGGAAACCGGAGCUAAUACCGGAUAAUAUAUUGAACCGCAUGGUUCAAUAGUGAAAGACGGUUUUGCUGUCACUUAUAGAUGGAUCCGCGCCGCAUUAGCUAGUUGGUAAGGUAACGGCUUACCAAGGCAACGAUGCGUAGCCGACCUGCGAGGGUGAUCGGCCACACUGGAACGGAGACACGGUCCAGACUCCUACGGGAGGCAGCAGUAGGGAAUCUUCCGCAAUGGGCGAAAGCCUGACGGAGCAACGCCGCGUGAGUGAUGAAGGUCUUCGGAUCGUAAAACUCUGUUAUUAGGGAAGAACAAAUGUGUAAGUAACUAUGCACGUCUUGACGGUACCUAAUCAGAAAGCCACGGCUAACUACGUGCCAGCAGCCGCCGCCG
rnacentral:rRNA from 1 species